CCCAGUGUGAGGCAGUUACCGGAGCAACGGUGGAACGUAGGUUAAAGUUUAUUUUUGCAGCCCGGGCACAGGAACAUGUAGUACAGUAGAGAUUGCCAGUGCCGGCGGCCCACAACUCACAGGACGAGGAGAGCGGUGCUUUCAGAUACUAAGAACUGAUUCUGCUGGGGAAAGAAAAAAAAUUAAAAUUAAAAGUCACGUGAUUUCAGCACAGUCCGAAGAUGGCAGGGACGCGUUGGAAGAGAUGUACAAAUUCAGGCGCAAUGCAUCAUCAGGGGGCUUGCUUGUCAGUUCUCCCCUUCACACGGGCAAGUAAGGAACAAGCUCGCCUGGAGAAGCUUCAAUCACUACUGACCACAUGUAGACGGUCACAUCAUGAUAGAACAGCCAGAUUUUG